CUAAACAUUUUCACACCCUUAAGGGUGUUAAAAUGGGUGUUUUCCGCAUUUACACCCCCGUGCACACCCUUUUAGCACCCAUUUUGUUAAAAACACCCUAUCAUAUGGGUGUAUACGGCACAUAAGGUGUGAAGUUGCUCAAAGAAGGGUGUUAAAUCGACGUCUGAAGGGUGUUGAACACAAGGAUGCAUGCAUAAAUCUGGCCAUAAGAACGCGCAUACGUCCGCGCAAUGAGCCAUGUGUCUAUGUAUGUCAUUUUUUUCUAAGAUACUGAUGUUACUGGCAUGACGGGCACUCCAAAACGUAUUACCUUGAAAAGUAGACACAUUCACUUGCAAUUUCAUGAAAUAUCAUUAGAUUUAGUUCUCACUGUGAUACUACAGUGCAAUUAGACACUUUUAAUACAAACUGCAGUAAUUGAAUGAAAACGCGCAAGCAACUCGCAAAAUUUUGCAGGAAUUUAGCGGUGCCCUUAACAGCCCAACAAAAAGUUGCGAACCCCGGUGAGAUGUCUUUUUAAGCGAUUCAAGGUAGUAAUUAGACACGCAGGCAUAAAAAUUAGGCUAAUUCACUUGUCAACCAACCAAGUCAGACAAUCCUGCUUACGUAAUUGAAGCCCAUCAUCGAUAUAGUUCAUAAAUGGUUCUUUGAAUGCCAAGAACUGAUGCCGCUAAUUGCUUCAGUGUAAUGAAUUCCGGACUAUGGAAAUAUGGAAAACCGAAACAUGUACUGCGGAAGAGCACAACUGUCACUCCUUUGGCAGACGCCACGAGUGAUGUGAAUGCUUGCGCCUCACACGUGGCACGACCAAUAAUGUAGCGCUCUUAUCGAGCCACGAUCUCGCUGAAACUUUAUGCUGUGACCUGGCAUGGUCUCCUUGAUCGGACGCAGCUGGUAUUUUGAUCGUACCUGUAGAAGCGCGCUGAUCGGCUCACUCACGGUCAAGAUUUCUGCGAUGCACUCAAAGUCAUGCAGCCCAGACAUCGUAAAAAAAAAAAAAAAAAAAAAACGUAACGCUCGACACGAAACGUAUUCGCCACUCCCAGCUCACCGGUACAGCUAGAGACCACAACGAAGUGGCAGCAAGCACGCGGCCACGCCAACAAGCAAAGCUGUGAGAAUAAAGGGGCAACGGCAGAUAAUUUUUAUAGUUCGACUGAGUUCGGCGCAGCGCGAUUUACGCGGCUGCGCCCUCCCGACUGAAAAGCGACCGGAACUGACGCUACGACGCUUUACCGUUGCCUAGACAACCCGGCGCGCGGCAGGGUGGGAAGGCGGAAGCUGCUACGUCACCUCAUUGACUCUUGCUUCAAAAGAUGCGUUGUCUCUUUUUUGUCUGUGUCCGCGUCUCGCGCUCUGGGAAAUAAUUUUAAACGUGUGAUUGGUUUUAUGUGCGGUCUAAUCAGAGACGUGGUCCGUGCGUUGUGUAUUAAUCGUGCCCCACCUCAACUCAAAGCCUUGGCACGCGCUGGAAGAUGGAUCCACGGAAGCAGAUACGAGCAGUUGCAACGUGCCCGGUGUCGGCGGUCGGUAUACUACUGUCAGUAUGGAAAGUUUCAGGCAAGUGUCCGUUCAUUUGGUGUUUCUUUAUUUGAUUACGUGUUAUUGUUGGCUGUAGAAGUAUCUCAUUGUGAUCCGAUAGCAUAUUUCACUAAUGUAAGCGCAAAAGCAGUUGCACGCAGUACUACGGCAAGAUGGCUACCUCGAUUGCCCCCGUGUGACUAACGUUUCUGUGGCCACGUCGGGCGUGGUGCGCCUGCAUAAUCCCGCUUUGUUUCUGAGCGCUUGAACUAUCGGAAAUGUGGUGUUCUUGCGAGUUCAGCGCGGCUUAUAACACGGUCGUUCGUUUUGUGUCGAGUAGAAAAAGAAGUGACGACUGGCUUCGCCUUUCGAAAGUACCGGCGCAAUAUUGGCUCUCCCUCGCGCGCCCGCGUACUGCUGCUGCUGCUGCUUGCCGGACGCCUUCUUCAGCGUGUUUUGGGCUAUCUUUCUCUCUCCGUUUGUGUGUGUGUGUGGUGUGUGUUAGCGCGCGCGUACGUGUUUUGUAAGCGCUUUACGUGUGCGUGCGUGCGUCCGUGCGUUUUUUCUGAGCGCUGUGUACGUGCGUUCGUGCAUGUUUUUUGAGUGUUUUGUAUGUGUGCGUGCGCGCGCGCGCGUGCUUGUAUGCGGGUCUCUAUGUGCUUGCGCGUGCGUGCGUUCGUGCGUGUUUUGUGAGCGCUUUGUAUGUGCGCGCGUGCCUGUUGUGUGAGUGCUUUGCAUGUGUGCGUGCGCGCGCGCGCGUUGCUGCUUUGCGAGCGUUUUGCUUGUGCGCGCGUGCUUGUAUGUGGGUCUCUAUGUGCUUGCGCGUGCGUGCGUUCGUGCGUGUUUUGUGAGUACUUAGCGUGUGUGCGUGCGCGCGCGCGUACGUGUUUUGUGAGCGCUUUGCGAGUGCGCGUGCUUGUAUGCGGGUCUCUAUGUGCUUGCGCGUGCGUUCGUGCGUGCGUGUUUUGUGAGUGCUAUGUAUGUGCGUGCGCGCGCGCGCGUACGUGUUUUGUGAGUUUUCUGCGGGGGCGCGCGUGCUUGUGUGUGUGUGUGUGUGUGUAUUGAAUAAAGUCGGUAGUUUUACACGCAAUAAACCUCUUCAAAAUUGGUGCAGCGGCUGUCCCCGCCCUGAAAACCGAGUUUGGUGUCGAGCCACUCUGGAAUAUAUGGAGGCGCCGGAGGACCAGUGGAAGGUGUCAUCCAGAUGACAGCCUCACAAUUCGCAGCCUUUGUGCUCUCCAUCAGAAACCCAUCAGGGGCAAGCCACUUAUGUUUGCCUUCAGACAAGACAACAUUGAAGCAGGAUUCCAGCACAGCCAUCUCCUGCACUUAUGGUCAAGAUGCUCAGACAAUGGAGUCCCUGUUCCUUGUGGUUAACCGUGAACAGUAUUCUCGCUUUUAUGAAAGCUAAAGGUGAUUUCCUGCAUAAAUUAGAAUUUUGCAGCUCAAAUGUAUACACUUUAUUCUAAUUUGAAUCAACUAAUAUAUGCUGUUUAAUACUUUUAUACUGUUUGAUACAAUCAUUUCUUGUUGGAAAAUAUUAAGCAUGAUGUUUAACAUUUAUUUAUGCAUUACUGGCUGAUGCAUGAUGGCCUGUGUUUAAAAAAUGUGAACUCACACAUUUGAAGCUUCAUUCAGUAACCAGAGUAUGGCUGAUUUAAUAAACAUUAUUUGCUCAUUUAUGUACAAGCCCUAAUCUUCCAUUAUCGCACCAAGUACAAAUAAUUUAGAAAUUGGCAAUGUAUCAUCCGCAUGUGGCCAGUAGAGUACCUUAAUGAACAGUGGUUUGUUUUUAUAAGGCCGCCAUUGAUACGGCACUUCGCACCUAAACAGUAAUAAAUCUGGCAUAUUUAGGCUGUCUUGCAGUAGAAAAAAAACAUUUUCAAGCAACAUAUUUUAUAACAGACCAUGCAUUGCCUUCGCAUUACAAAAUUUAAGGAAACCAGAAUUGUAAUUGGAAAAUCUGCUACACAGCAUUUUUAGCUCAGAGAACUCUAUUUACAUUUGAAAAAAAAUGAUUUAGGUGGGAAAAAAAUUUUCUUGCUCAAGGAAUCUUGUUGAGGAGCGAAAAUUCAUCUUGAUGCUCCUGGAUCAAACCUUAUUUAAAGCAAGUUCAUGUGUGAAACAUACGGUGUUUCAGUAUAUCAAAAAUGUGCGCCAGUCAAGCUUUAUAUCGACUUUCCAAAUCAGCUUUUCACAAUGAUUUGCCAUGACAUUGGUGUACAAAAUAACAGGGUGUGUUUCUUGUGUGCGUGCUCUACUUCCCUAAUUGACCUUUGCAAUAUAUAUAUUUUUUCAAGGCCACCAAAACUAGAAUUUUUGUACCUGAAAUUUAAUAUUGAAAAUUUAUUCCUUUAAGUGGCACCAAACAGGCUGUUUUAGGGUUACCAUAUAUACAGGUUGUUUCAGUUAACUUAAGCUAAACAUUAAAUAAAUGCAAAUGCUACGUAGCUGGACAGAACCAAGGUAAUGUUGUUCGCCGUCGCUUGGAGAUACUCAGACUAUUUUUGUACUCGGCCUAAUUCGAUAAUUAGACCUAAUUAUUUAUUCAACUUCUCAAUUAUAAUUAGAUGAAAAGUGUCAAUGAGUAAAUUGUAGAGCAACAUGAGAAACUCCCAAUACAGCUUUCUGUUGCUCAAUACGUGCAACAUAAAAUGGUUUUUCCGAGCGUGAAAGAAGCCCGUGAAUAUACGCAAAAUUUUCGUCCGACUGGCCGCUCGAGGCACUUUAUGUGUAUUCGCGGGCAUCUUUCACGCUCGGAAAAACACUUUGUGUUGCACGUAUUGAGCAACAGAAAGCUGUAUCGGGAGUUUCUCAUGUUGCUCUAUACAAUCUUCUAAUUGACACUUGUCAUCUAAUUAUAAUAGUUGAGAAGUUGAAUAAAUAAUUAAGUCUAAUUAGGCGGAGUACAAAAUAUAGUCUGAGUAUCCCCAAGCGACGGCAAACAAUAUUACUUUAGGUUCUGUCCACCUACGGAGCAUUUGCAUAUUUUUAAAGUUUGUCCCAAGUUAACUGAAACACCCUGUAUAUAGGACAGAUUUGAUCAGUUAUAUUUAAAAAAAACAUUUUUGUAGGAAAUGUAAAUUUUCAUGUACUUACAAAUGUAUUUGGUGAUUGCACAUUUUAGGUUGUUAUGUAUGUAUUAUGUAGUUAUGUAUUCUAGCAUGGAAUAAAUAUAUUUACUUUCCUUGAAAAUGCAGUAUCAUAUAUGUCUUGCUGGUUCGUAUUACAUUUUAUAUGGAUAUGUAAAGCGUAAUAACCAUUGAUGUAGAUAUACACGCUCAGAAGUUAUAGUUUGCUAGGUUGCAUUUGUGCAGUGAAGACAGGUUUGGCCCUGAAU